GACGGAGGGUGCAAGCGUUGCUCGGAAUCACUGGGCGUAAAGGGUGCGUAGGCGGUCUCGCAAGUCUGGCGUGAAAGCCCAAGGCUCAGCCUUGGAAGUGCGCUCGAAACGGCGUGGCUGGAGCAAGCUAGGGGGCAAUGGAAUUCCCGGUGUAGUGGUGGAAUGCGUAGAUAUCGGGAGGAACACCAGUGGCGAAGGCGGGUCUCUGGGCAAUUCCUGACGCUGAGGCGCGAAAGCGUGGGGAGCAAACGGG
rnacentral:rRNA from 1 species